rnacentral:rRNA from 1 species
UAGGGAAUCUUCCGCAAUGGGCGAAAGCCUGACGGAGCAACGCCGCGUGAGUGAUGAAGGUCUUCGGAUCGUAAAACUCUGUUAUUAGGGAAGAACAAAUGUGUAAGUAACUAUGCACGUCUUGACGGUACCUAAUCAGAAAGCCACGGCUAACUACGUGCCAGCAGCCGCGGUAAUACGUAGGUGGCAAGCGUUAUCCGGAAUUAUUGGGCGUAAAGCGCGCGUAGGCGGUUUUUUAAGUCUGAUGUGAAAGCCCACGGCUCAACCGUGGAGGGUCAUUGGAAACUGGAAAACUUGAGUGCAGAAGAGGAAAGUGGAAUUCCAUGUGUAGCGGUGAAAUGCGCAGAGGUAUGGAGGAACACCAGUGGCGAAGGCGACUUUCUGGUCUGUAACUGACGCUGAUGAGCGAAAGAGUGGGGAUCAAACAGG